rnacentral:sRNA from 1 species
GAUUUGCGUUAGGGAUGGAAGCGGCAUCCUUUUGUGAAGCGAAGCGGAACAAAAGAUAUAGCGGACAGCCCGACCCGAA